GACGUAGGGCGCGAGCGUUGUCCGGAUUUAUUGGGCGUAAAGAGCUCGUAGGCGGCUUGUCGCGUCGUCUGUGAAAUCCCGCGGCUCAACCGCGGGUCUGCAGUGGGUACGGGCAGACUAGAGUGUGGUAGGGGAGACUGGAAUUCCUGGUGUAGCGGUGGAAUGCGCAGAUAUCAGGAGGAACACCGAUGGCGAAGGCAGGUCUCUGGGCCACUACUGACGCUGAGAAGCGAAAGCAUGGGGAGCGAACAGG
rnacentral:rRNA from 1 species